rnacentral:rRNA from 1 species
CAAUCAUACCUCAACUUUUCUGGUCUCUGUGUUCGUUAUAUUGAUCUAAUAGAUCACUUAACCACCAAAGAAAUAAAAAUAGUAAUGCUUUUAGCACUCAUUGCCGUGAGUGCACCACUUCAGGUCUUUCCUAACGUAUAAGGGAAGAAGAAUAUCCAAACCGAUCACACCACAGUAGGGUUUUCCCAAUGAUCUGUGUGUUGGUCUAGAAUCCAUUAAACUCCCCUUAUACCCUAAGAGUAGAUCUGAAUGGCCGUAAAGUUAUUACAUUUCCCAGCAUAAUGUUUAUCUAUGAAAUGUCUAACAAUGGUUAACUAAACCCUCAAGCUGAGGCUUGUAUUGGGAUAUAUUGACCCCGCGGCUUGCUUCCUCGAUGUCGGCUCUUCCUCGCUUGGUGUUGCAUAGGGCACCUAGAGUAGGGUUGUUCGCCCGUUAAUAGGGAACGUGAGCUGGGUUCAGACCGUUGUGAGACAGGUUGGUUUCUAUCUAACGGAACUGUUGGGUGAUUGUAAGCAAAAUGACUUCAGUACGAGAGGAACGAGUUGUUGUGGCCUCUGGUCGAUGGGUUGUCUGACAAGGCACUGCCCAGUAGCUACGCCAUUACAGAUAAGAGCUGAAAGCAUCUAAGCUCGAAGCUGUUCUUGAAAAGAAUCACCCACUCAGCAAUAGUUGAUAAAGUCAAAUUUGUACUUCCAGUACAAAUACAAUGAUAAAAUCAUUCUGGGAUCAGUGAUGAUAACGGAAAUAUAUUGCAGACGAGGACAUGGAAAAAAGAUCCGUUGAAAGGAAUGGGGUGUAAGCGUUGAGCUCCGGCGAAAUGUUUAGCCCACAUUUACUUACGUCCAAGGCGUUUCACUU